UGAGCAAUCUGCCCUUCUCUUCGGAAUAAGCGUGGGAAACCGCGUCUAAUGCCGAAUACGACCUCCUUUCGCAUGAUCGGAGGUGGAAAGCUUCGGCGGAGAAGGAUGAGCUCGCGGCCUAUCAGCUAGUUGGUGUGGGUAAUGGCCCACCAAGGCGACGACGGGUAGCCGGCCUGAGAGGGUGACCGGCCACACUGGGACUGAGACACGGCCCAGACUCCGUACGGGAGGNAGCG
rnacentral:rRNA from 1 species